CAGGGAUUGCCCCAGUAACGGCGAGUGAAGCGGCAACAGCUCAAAUUUGAAAUCUGGCCCCGGGCCCGAGUUGUAAUUUGCAGAGGAUGCUUUUGGUGACGCGCCUACCGAGUCCCCUGGAACGGGGCGCCACAGAGGGUGAGAGCCCCGUAUGGUUUGACGCCGAGCCUCUGUAAAGCUCCUUCGACGAGUCGAGUAGUUUGGGAAUGCUGCUCUAAAUGGGAGGUAAAUUUCUUCUAAAGCUAAAUACCGGCCAGAGACCGAUAGCGCACAAGUAGAGUGAUCGAAAGAUGAAAAGCACUUUGAAAAGAGGGUUAAAUAGCACGUGAAAUUGUUGAAAGGGAAGCGCUCGUGACCAGACUUGCGCCGGGCGGAUCAUCCAGCGUUCUCGCUGGUGCACUCCGCCCGGCUCAGGCCAGCAUCGGUUUUCGCCGGGGGACAAAAGCACCGGGAAUGUGGCUCCCCUCGGGGAGUGUUAUAGCCUGGGGCGCAAUACCCCGGCGGGGACCGAGGACCGCGCUUCGGCAAGGAUGCUGGCGUAAUGGUCAUCAGCGACCCGUCUUGAAACACGGACCGAGGAGUCAAGCAUUAGUGCGAGUGUUUGGGUGUAAAACCCGCACGCGUAAUGAAAGUGAACGUAGGUGAGAGCUUCGGCGCAUCAUCGACCGAUCCUGAUGUUUUCGGAUGGAUUUGAGUAGGAGCAUUAACGCUUGGACCCGAAAGAUGGUGAACUAUACUUGAAUAGGGUGAAGCCAGAGGAAACUCUGGUGGAGGCUCGCAGCGGUUCUGACGUGCAAAUCGAUCGUCAAAUUUGAGUAUAGGGGCGAAAGACUAAUCGAACCAUCUAGUANCUGGUACGCA
rnacentral:rRNA from 1 species